AGCAGCCGCGGUAAUUCCAGCUCCAAUAGCGUAUAUUAAAGUUGUUGCAGUUAAAAAGCUCGUAGUUGAAUUUCGGGAUCAUCAGGUCGGUCGUGCCUCCGGUAUGUACUGGUCUCGAUGGUUCCUCCUUCUUGUAGAACCGUAAUGCCAUUAAUUUGGUGUUGCGGGGAAACAGGACUGUUACUUUGAAAAAUUAGAGUGUUUAAAGCAGGCGAUCGCUUGAAUACAUUAGCACGGAAUAAUGAAAUAGGACGUUCGAUCCUAUUUUGUUGGUUUCUAGGAUUGACGUAAUGAUUAAUAGGGAUAGUUGGGGGCAUUAGUAUUCAAUUGUCAGAGGUGAAAUUCUUGGAUUUAUUGAAGACUAACUACUGCGAAAGCAUUUGCCAAGGAUGUUUUCAUUAAUCAAGAACGAAAGUUAGGGGAUCGAAGACGAUCAGAUACCGUCGUAGUCUUAACCAUAAACUAUGCCGACUAGGGAUCGGAUGAUGUUAAUUUUUUAAUGUACUCAUUCGGCGCCUUA
rnacentral:rRNA from 1 species